AUCCAGCUGAAGAGUCCCAAAUAGGAUGAAACGCGCGUUUAAACUAUAU
rnacentral:hammerhead_ribozyme from 1 species